UCAAGUGUGCCUUUUUUUUUUAUAAGCAAAAUAAUAUUAUUAAAGAGAGUAUAAGGGAUACUUUAACCCAUAUACAAAAUGAGAGGUCCGAACCCAGCAUCAUAGCAAGAGAAACUACCCACCUUCUAUGAAGGGUUGCAGAGUUUCGACAAAUCAUGUGCUCGAAAAUCGGACAAAAACCAACAAUGCAAACAAACUACAUGAUUACAACUAAAAUAUAAAAAAAUAAAAAAAAAAUAAAAAAAAUAAAAAAAAAACACUAUUUUGACAGUGCUAUAACCUGCUAACAAUCAAAUGCACCCAAAUUAACUUCAUGCCACCAGUACCAAAUCAACCAAGUGAAAACAUCAUCCUCCAAGCCAAAGCAAGUACACGAUGACAAUCCCACUAGAGCAAUAAAAUAGUACCUGCACACAACUCUAACAAAGUGAUACACAGACCCAAGCACAUCAUGCACAACAAAGACUUGAUCAUCCAAUCUUCAAAACCUUACAAACCCUCAUAUACUUUGAAGACAAUAAAGGGGAUUAAUACACCAAUUAUAAAACAUAUGAUCCGCCUUGCGACCUGCUCUACCACUAAAAUGAAAUGAAUUUAAUGGAAUCAACCAAUGUCGAGUAGUCCGCCAUCUCUCCUCUAAACAAGAUAUUAUUCCUCUUGCGCUAUAUACACCAAGUAGUGGUCAACCAAAUCAAAUGUCUAACUUUCAUCCCCUUCUUCACUUUGACUAAAGAUCCAAAACUCAGAAAAUGUAUCCAACCCCCUUCCCGGUGGCUGUAAUCAAAGCCCAGCCACAAAAAAACAUGCUUCCAAACUUCUUAGAUUUUAUAACAACUAAAAAAUACUCCCU
rnacentral:lncRNA from 1 species